rnacentral:rRNA from 1 species
GCAUGCCUACAACAUAGCAUUAAUGCACCAGAUCCCAUUAGAAAUCUGUAGUUAAGAGUGCUCGGGCUGGAGUAGUACUGGAAUGGGUGACCUCUUGGGAAUUCCUAGUGUUUUACAUGCC